CUGGUUUCACUUGCACUCAAACCACGUACAUCAGUGCUUCUCUCCAUUUUUUUGAGUGUUGGCACGCUGUCACCAAAACAACCACCACGUCCUGCAUUGACAACGUAUUUUCCUGUUACUUCCUUGUUUACACUUGUAUUUAGCGCUGUCCACCUGUGAUCCGAUCGCCCAAGACACAUUUUAAAACCGAGUGUAAAUAGGGUCAAAGACACACAAUAUAAUUUAAAUACGACAAUACAUACAAUCAAUGACACAAUUCCUUAAAAACAAAGAACAAACAGAAGUUUCCUAUGCUAGUUGAUGCCUGGAUGUUUGUCAGUCUUACUGCAUGAGUGCAGAUGCUUCCGUAUGGUGCAGGGUUGUCCAAGGAAACUCUUGUCUUAGGCACCUGCUGUGAAUCGGUUACGCUGUAGAAAAGCCGGCCCUCAUCUUGGUUCUCUUUAGUCGCUUUUCCACUGCAAGGUACCGGCUCAACUCGACUUGACUCGACUCUACUCAACUUUUUUGGUUUUCCAUCGGGCAAAAGUUGUGGAUAGUACCUGGUACUUUUUUUGGUACCACCUCUGUCGAGGUUCCAAGCGAGCUGAGACGAUACCGAAAGGUGACGUGAAAAAACUGCAGACAACUGAUUGGUCAGAGAGAAUCGUCACUAGAAUCAUCACUGCAUCCAGCAACCAGAGUCGCCUUGUCGUCUGAGCUCUGAUGUAGGAUUUCCCAAACUCUCCUGUUUUUUUCAGCAGUCUUCUGUCUUACUGCCUUCAGCCUCUUCUGAAACAAAAUUUGUCUCCUUACUGUGAGAAACAGCCACAUACUGAGAAUGAAGAACAUCAUCCCUUUGAUAUCCUCCAUUGUUCCUGUGUGCGUCGCGUUGAAGAUGACGUCACGGCCGUUUCACGCGGCGUCGCUAUGAUGACCAGCUACAUUGACCAUCUACAUUGACGGGGAUACUAUCUGCAGUGGAAAACGAAGUACCUGGUACCAAAAGCGAGUUGAGUCGAGUCGAGUUGAGCCGGUACCAUGCGGUGGAAAAGUGGCAUUCAUCCUGGAGCUGGAAGUUACUUUUGCUUUCCGUUGCUGGAAAGUACAUAGACUAUACGCGUUCAACUUGUUGCUAUGUUGCAGAAUGAUAGCAAGUGUAAAGUUGGUAAACAAAUUGAUCCCUUGAUGGAUCAGUUUCCUUAGCUUACAUGCAGUAUAGCUAAAACGUUUACUUUUAGUUACAAAUGCUGGUCGUACCUGUCACCCGAGAGAGCUAGUGCAUCUCUCCACAUGUUCCUUUACAGGCAGGUCUUAGGCCUGUGUCCUUAGAUAGUGCCUUGUGCACCUCUCUUCAGUUCAGCAGCAAACAGCAGAAGGGGCUAGGAGAGACAGGAAUGCACAUUUUACAGGCAGCGACAGGAAGUAUCCAGUCCCUGUCAUCAAGGUCUGUGAUCCUGUGAUUGUGAAGUGAUGUCAUUGCACCAAAAUAAUGCCCAGUCCUUACAAUAGUGAGGAGAAAAAUGUAGACCUAUUUUCUCUUUAUGUUGUACAAGUGCAAAGCAGAUAUUGUUUAUGCUGUGCAAUGUUAAUGUGCUGUCAAUGUGGGAAAGUAGUGAUAAAAAGGUAAUUCAUGUGAAUUGAAAUAUUACAGAUGAAUAUGUUGUUAUUUCAGAGAAAGUGUUUAUUUGCUGGGUAGAUUUGUAUAUACAGGGGUGCCUGAUUGUAUUUAGGCAUGUCUUGUGACGUAAUGGUUGCAGAUACGACUAAAUAAAUGUAUGAUUACUGAAAGCAAUGUUUGUAAUGCAAACUAUAAUAAAAAUAUAACGUGUAAGAAAUGUGGAAGGAGGAAGCAGAUAGACAGUUUUUCAUACUGUGUUAUUUUACAGGUUGUUUACAAUGGAGCAGGAGCAUCAAGUCCAACUGGAAAAGCAAAUGAUACUGGAUCAUCAUCACUUUGAAGGUCUUGGCAUUCUACAGUAAGGGACAUCAUGUAACAAGGAGGGGACAUGCCUGCCGAAGACAGUGUACAGACAGUUCUGGAUGGAUAAACUUGACAGUAUGGGAACAAAGUUGGACCUUGGGAAAUUGAAGGGUGCGUCCAUUUAGCAAUUUCAGGGACACAAAGCACUCUGAUGAAGUGAUGACUGAUGAAGAUGCGGAAGCUGUAGUUAUGCAAGGAGAAGUUGUGGGUGCCGAUUUAGGGAAUGUGAAUGAGUGCAGCUAGCUAUGUACAUUUGUGCAAACUGAAUAUACAAUUUUGCAUUGUCCUUAUGAUUCUACACUGUAAAUAUGGUUUUAAAUGAAAACUAUAUUUUGAACAAGUCACACAUGCAGUUUCUGUUAAAGCAGUUAGCUGUAUGUGUGUAUGCAUGCAUACAGACGAGUAUUGUAGAUAAGAAUGAGCCAAGGGUUAAAAACUUUUUAGUAUUUUGUGCUGUAGGUAAUACCAUUUAAGGAAGUAAUGUAACAAAUCUGUUAUUUUUUAGAUGCCAUGUACAUUUGAGGCCAAAAGUUUACAUACACCUAGGUUAAAGACAUUCCAACUCAAUUUUUCACAAAUCCACAGAUUUCAUGUUACCAUACAUUUCCUAUGUUUAGUCAAUUAGGGUAUCUAAUUAAUAGCUAAAUUAAUUAAAUCUAAUUAAUAUGUAAAUAAUAGCUAAGAGACAGAUUUAUUUCAGCUUUUAUGUACUAUAUCAGAUUUUCAGUGGGUCAGAAGUUUACAUACACUUUGUUAGUAUUUGGUGGCAUUGCCUUUUAAUUGCUUAACUUGAACCAAACGCCUGGGGUACCCUCCUACAAGCUUCUCACAAUACUUUGCCGAAGUUUUUGCCUAUUCCUCUGGACAGAACUGGUGUAACUCAGUCAGGUUUGGAUGCCUCUUUGCUUGGACAUGCUUUUUCAGUUCAGUCCACAAAUAUUCUAUGGGAUUCAGGUCAGGGCUUUGUGAUGGCCACUCCAAUACUUUCACUUUAUUGUCUUUAAGCCAUUUUGUUACAAAUUUGGAGGUAUGCUUAGGAUCAUUGUCCUGCUGGAAGACCCAGUUGUGGCCCAGUUUUAACUUUCUAGCUGAUGUCUUGAGGUGUUGCUUCAGUAUUUCUAGAUAAUCCUCCUUCCUCAUGAUACCAUCUAUUUUCUGAAAAAUAGAAAAGGGAAGUACACCAGUCCCUUUUCCAGCAAAACACCCCCACAACCUGAUGCUGCCACCCCCAUAUUUCACAGUUGAGAUGGUGUUCUUUAGAUUAAAAUUCUCAUCCGUUUUCCUCCAUACAUAGCACUGAUCAUUAUGGCCAAAUAGUUUAAUUUGUGUUUCAUCUGACCAGAGAACACUCCUCCAAAUGGCUAGGUCUUCGUCCUGGUCUUGGAGUAGGGGCUUCUUCCUUGCAUGACCACCGUUCAGGCCAUGGCGAUGUAGGAUUCUCUUAAUGAUGGAUGUAGAUAGUUUGGUACCUGAUGCCUCCAACUCCUUUACAAUUUCCUUUUUUGUUGUCUUGGGGUUCAGUUGAACCUUUUGGACUAAAGUUCAUUCAGCCCUGGGAGUUCAAUUGCGUCUCCUUUGUGAACAAUGCAGUGUCUGUGUGGUCCCAAGAUUUUUAUAUUUACAUACAAUUGUUUGUACAAAUUCUCGUGGUACCUUCAGUUGUUCGGAAAUUGCUUCUAAGGAGGAACCUGACUUGUGGAGUUCCACAUUUUUUUUUCUGAGUUCUUGGAUUUUCCCAUUGUAUCAAGGGCAAAAAGGCAGUGGCUCUAAAGGUCGACCCGUAAAUACAGCCACAGGUGCUAGUGAACUAUGACAAUUGGUCCAUCAAAAGCUUCUAAAAAGUCAUCACAUCUAUUUAUGGAAUCUUUCAGACUUUUUAAAGAGACAUGGUGUAUGUAAACUUUUGACGCACUGGAAUUCUGAUAUAGUGUAUUAAAGCUGAAAUAAAUCUGUCUCUAAUUGAUUGUUUUAAAAUGACCUCUGAUGUGAACAAAGUAGAUGCCCAAAUUGACUUGCCAAAAGAAAUGUAUGGUAACAUGAAAUGUGCGGAGUUGUGAAAAACUGAGUUUGAAUAUCUUUAGCCUAGGUGUAUAUGAACUUUUGGCCUCAACUGUGUAUAAAUGGUUCACACACUUAGAACAUGGUCUGUACACUACUUCCUGCUGUAUUUAUGAAAUGUGUGGCAUUGCUCUUAACAGGAGCAAUUUUACACAUUUCAUAUACAUAUAAGCAGUGAUGUUCAUCACUUUUGACCAUAUCCUUCUAAGAAAAGAAAAACCGGAGCCCAUACUCAUAACAAAAAUUUUUAAAAAACUUUAAUAUAUCAUAAAUAUCUGGGCAACAAACUUGUUUCAGACUCAGCUGUCCUCAGUGUCUCAAUGCUCUCAAUUGAUUGUAGUCUAAGCUUUCUAAAUCCAUAAAUGACCUCCCUACGGUUCCUAGCUAUUCCUAGCCAGCAUGACCUGAUCUCAAGCAAAAUGCACUGUUCUGAAAGGUGAUUGCAGCUAGAUAAUAUAAUUCACUGAAUUUAUCUGCUUGCUUUGAUAAUAAUCCAAGCAGUACAAGGUGAAAAUGAUUAAAGAUGUCAUUGUGCUUUA